rnacentral:lncRNA from 1 species
UAGUACACGAUAUCACCCUUCGUGCUUUUACUCUCUCUUCCUCACCCAAUCAAUGCUCACAACCAAACAGGAAAGGAAAUAUAUAUCAAGGCAAAAUAUCCCGGCAAGGGACAAUAAUUCAACAAUAAAUCCCGGCAAGGGAAUACAACUCAACGAUAGGCCCCGGUAAGGAAAAAGUACCAAAAAUUUCUCUUUAAAUCAUUUACUUCCCAACUAUCACUUCAUAGUUCAUGUAACAAGUUGUUCACUUCUUUCGCAAUUUUAAUAGUGAAGAUGACUCACAGUCAUGCUAGACUCGGGCGCAUAGGUAACCGUCACCAUAGCUAUACACCGACCCCACAAAGCACAUAGCAAAUAUCAACCUAAUCUUAUUCCCUCAAGCCAAAUCGAAAGCUUCCAACUCAACUCACGCCUCUAAAAUAGCUUUACCUAUCGAAUUCGCCUCAAAACCGGUCGAAUAUAUCCACAAUUUACUCAAAUGUAUCAACAAAUGCUGGUUAAAUCAAUUUGAAUGCAUAAGAAUGAAAUUCCCAAAGUUUUAUCCAAAAUUCCCAAUAUGCCUCCGGAUGCUGGUUAAAUCAAUUUGAAUGCAUAAGAAUGAAAUUUCCAAAGUUUUACCCAAAAAUUCCCAAAAUACCCCUGGCCCACGUGGUCAAAACUCGAGGUGGGAACUAAAACCGGGUUACCCAUUCCCCCACGAGUUCAUAUAUGCAAUUUGUUUUGAAAUCGGACCCAAAUUGAG